CUUUCUGAGCAGGUUGGGAGAGGUAGCAAUGCUCUGUACACAUGUGGUAUUGCACUUGUCCCGGCCUGUUGAGGACAU
rfam:Gasterosteus aculeatus cont1.005311, whole genome shotgun sequence.